rnacentral:rRNA from 1 species
GUCUUUUUGAAAUUUAUAAAAAGUCUAGCCUGCUCAAUGAACAUAAAUAGCCGCGGUAUUUUGACCGUGCGAAGGUAGCAUAAUAAAUAGUCUAUUAAAUGUGGUCUGGAAUGAAGGGUUGAACGAGGAAUAACUUUUUUAAUUUUAAAGAUGAAUUUAAAUUAUUAGUAAAAAUGCUAAUUUUUUAUAGAGGGACGAGAAGACCCUAUAGAGCUUCAUAUUUUUUAUAAUUGUGGUAUGAAUUAAAAAAUAUAUUUUGUUGGGGCGACAUAUAGUGUAAACAUUAUUAAAAAUCUUUUUAAAAGGUUUUAGAUCCAUUAUUAAUGAUUGUAGGCUAAGUUACCUUAGGGAUAACAGCGUAAUUUUAUUAUAGAGUUCUUAUCGAUAAUAAAGUUUGCGACCUCGAUGUUGGAUUAGAAUCCCUUUUAAGCGCAGCAGUUUUUUAAGGUAGUCUGUUCGACUAUUAAAAUUCUACAUGAUCU